rnacentral:rRNA from 1 species
AGGGAAGAACAAGUACGUUAGGAAAUGAACGUACCUUGACGGUACCUUAUUAGAAAGCCACGGCUAACUACGUGCCAGCAGCCGCGGUAAUACGUAGGUGGCAAGCGUUGUCCGGAUUUAUUGGGCGUAAAGCGCGCGCAGGCGGUUUCUUAAGUCUGAUGUGAAAGCCCACGGCUUAACCGUGGAGGGUCAUUGGAAACUGGGAGACUUGAGUGCAGAAGAGGAAAGUGGAAUUCCAAGUGUAGCGGUGAAAUGCGUAGAGAUUUGGAGGAACACCAGUGGCGAAGGCGACUUUCUGGUCUGCAACUGACGCUGAGGCGCGAAAGCAUGGGGAGCAAACAGGAUUAGAUACCCUGGUAGUCCAUGCCGUAAACGAUGAGUGCUAAGUGUUAGGGGGUUUCCGCCCCUUAGUGCUGCAGCUAACGCAUUAAGCACUCCGCCUGGGGAGUACGACCGCAAGGUUGAAACUCAAAGGAAUUGACGGGGGCCCGCACAAGCGGUGGAGCAUGUGGUUUAAUUCGAAGCAACGCGAAGAACCUUACCAGGUCUUGACAUCCCAGUGACCACUCUAGAGAUAGAGUUUUCCCUUCGGGGACAUUGGUGACAGGUGGUGCAUGGUUGUCGUCAGCUCGUGUCGUGAGAUGUUGGGUUAAGUCCCGCAACGAGCGCAACCCUUAAUCUUAGUUGCCAUCAUUUAGUUGGGCACUCUAAGGUGACUGCCGGUGACAAACCGGAGGAAGGUGGGGAUGACGUCAAAUCAUCAUGCCCCUUAUGACCUGGGCUACACACGUGCUACAAUGGACGGUACAAAGAGUCGCUAACUCGCGAGAGCACGCUAAUCUCAUAAAACCGUUCUCAGUUCGGAUUGUAGGCUGCAACUCGCCUACAUGAAGCCGGAAUCGCUAGUAAUCGCGGAUCAGCAUGCCGCGGUGAAUACGUUCCCG